rnacentral:rRNA from 1 species
AUUGAACGCUGGCGGCAGGCUUAACACAUGCAAGUCGAACGAGUGGCGCACGGGUGAGUAACGCGUCGGACCGUACCACAUAAUGGGGGAUAACUGUCCGAAAGUAGAGCUAAUACCGCAUAUUAUUCGCGAGCCAUAUGUGUGAUUAGCUGGUUGGCGGGGUAAUGGCACACCAAGGCGACGAUCAGUAGCGGGUCUGAGAGGAUGAUCCGCCACACUGGGACUGAGACACGGCCCAGACUCCUACGGGAGGCAGCAGUGGGGAAUAUUGGACAAUGGGCGCAAGCCUGAUACAGCCAUGCCGCGUGUCUGAAGAAGGCCUUCGGGUUGUAAAGUACUUUUGGUAGGGAAGCGUUACCGGAAGAAGAAGCACCGGCUAACUACGUGCCAGCAGCCGCGGUAAUUC